rnacentral:rRNA from 1 species
AACGAACGCUGGCGGCAGGCUUAACACAUGCAAGUCGAACGCAUCCUUCGGGGUGAGUGGCAGACGGGUGAGUAACGCGUGGGAACGUGCCCUUCAGUUCGGGAUAACCCAGGGAAACUUGGGCUAAUACCGGAUACGUGCGAGAGCAGAAAGAUUUAUCGCUGAAGGAUCGGCCCGCGUCUGAUUAGCUAGUUGGUGGGGUCAUGGCCCACCAAGGCGACGAUCAGUAGCUGGUCUGAGAGGAUGAUCAGCCACAUUGGGACUGAGACACGGCCAAAACUCCUACGGGCGGGAGCAGUGGGGAAUAUUGGACAAUGGGCGCAAGCCUGAUCCAGCCAGGGCGGGUGGGUGAUGAAGGCCUUAGGGUUGUAAAGCGCUUUCGUCCGGGACGAUAAUGACGGUACCGGAAGAAGAAGCCCCGGCUAACUUCGUGCCAGAAGCCGCCGUAA